UGAGUAACACGUGGGUAACCUGCCUGUAAGACUGGGAUAACUCCGGGAAACCGGAGCUAAUACCGGAUAGUUCCUUGAACCGCAUGGUUCAAGGAUGAAAGACGGUUUCGGCUGUCACUUACAGAUGGACCCGCGGCGCAUUAGCUAGUUGGUGAGGUAACGGCUCACCAAGGCGACGAUGCGUAGCCGACCUGAGAGGGUGAUCGGCCACACUGGGACUGAGACACGGCCCAGACUCCUACGGGAGGCAGCAGUAGGGAAUCUUCCGCAAUGGACGAAAGUCUGACGGAGCAACGCCGCGUGAGUGAUGAAGGUUUUCGGAUCGUAAAGCUCUGUUGUUAGGGAAGAACAAGUGCAAGAGUAACUGCUUGCACCUUGACGGUACCUAACCAGAAAGCCACGGCUAACUACGUGCCAGCAGCCGCGGUAAUACGUAGGUGGCAAGCGUUGUCCGGAAUUAUUGGGCGUAAAGGGCUCGCAGGCGGUUUCUUAAGUCUGAUGUGAAAGCCCCCGGCUCAACCGGGGAGGGUCAUUGGAAACUGGGAAACUUGAGUGCAGAAGAGGAGAGUGGAAUUCCACGUGUAGCGGUGAAAUGCGUAGAGAUGUGGAGGAACACCAGUGGCGAAGGCGACUCUCUGGUCUGUAACUGACGCUGAGGAGCGAAAGCGUGGGGAGCGAACAGGAUUAGAUACCCUGGUAGUCCACGCCGUAAC
rnacentral:rRNA from 1 species